UAAGCGGAGGAAAAGAAACUAACAAGGAUUCCCCUAGUAACUGCGAGUGAAGCGGGAAAAGCUCAAAUUUAAAAUCUGGCGGUCUUUGGCCGUCCGAGUUGUAAUUUAGAGAAGCGUCUUCCGCGCCGGACCGUGCACAAGUCUCCUGGAAUGGAGCGUCAUAGAGGGUGAGAAUCCCGUCUUUGGCACGGAUGCCUGGUGCUUCUGUGAUGCGCUCUCGAAGAGUCGAGUUGUUUGGGAAUGCAGCUCAAAAUGGGUGGUGAACUCCAUCUAAAGCUAAAUAUUGGCGAGAGACCGAUAGCGAACAAGUACCGUGAGGGAAAGAUGAAAAGCACUUUGGAAAGAGAGUGAAACAGUACGUGAAAUUGUUGAAAGGGAAACGCUUGAAGUCAGUCGCGUCGACCGAGACUCAGCCUUGCCUCGGCUUGGUGUACUUCUCGGCCCGACGGGUCAGCGUCAAUUUUGCCCCUCGGAUAAUGGCAAGGGAAAGGUGGCACCUUUACGGGUGUGUUAUAGUCUCCUGUCGCAUGCGAGGGGUGGGAUUGAGGAACUCAGCGCGCACCUUGGUGUCGGGGCUUCGGCCCACGUCACGCGCUUAGGAUGCUGGCGUAAUGNCUUUAAACGANC
rnacentral:rRNA from 1 species